UCCGGCUCUACGCCGGCAGUCUCUCUAGAGUCCCCGCCAUUACGCGCUGGCAACUAAGGACAAGGGUUGCGCUCGUUGCGGGACUUAACCCAACAUGUCACCACACGAGCUGACGACAGCCAUGCAGCACCUGUCUCUCUGCUGUAUUGCUACAGAAGCACUAUCUCUAGGGUUGUCAGAGGAUGUCAAAUCCAGGUAAGGUUCUUCGCGUUGCUUCGAGUUAAACCACAUGAUCCACCGCUUGUGCGGGCCCCCGUCAAUUCCUUUGAGUUUUAGUCUUGCGACCGUACUUCCCAGGCGGGGUACUUAGUGCGUUAGCGCCGGUUCGGCGGGGGUCAAGACCCACCAAACCUAGUACCCAUCGUUUACAGCGUGGACUAC
rnacentral:misc_RNA from 1 species